GAGUUUGAUCAUGGCUCAGGAUGAACGCUAGCUACAGGCUUAACACAUGCAAGUCGAGGGGCAGCAUGAAUAUUGGCUUGCCAAUAUUUGAUGGCGACCGGCGCACGGGUGAGUAACACGUAUCCAACCUUCCGGUACUCGGGGAUAGGCUUUCGAAAGAAAGAUUAAUACCCGAUGUUGUGUAUCUUUCUCCUGAUUGAUACGCCAAAGGAUUCCGGUAACCGAUGGGGAUGCGUUCCAUUAGGCAGUUGGCGGGGUAACGGCCCACCAAACCUUCGAUGGAUAGGGGUUCUGAGAGGAAGGUCCCCCACAUUGGAACUGAGACACGGUCCAAACUCCUACGGGAGGCAGCAGUGAGGAAUAUUGGUCAAUGGACGGAAGUCUGAACCAGCCAAGUAGCGUGAAGGAUGACUGCCCUCUGGGUUGUAAACUUCUUUUAUACGGGAAUAACAUGUGGUACGGGUACCUUAU
rnacentral:rRNA from 1 species